rnacentral:lncRNA from 1 species
GGGGAUGUUUUCAGAGUUAUGUUCUAGUUGUUUGGUCCCUCAUUUGAGUCCACCUGUGUAGGUUCGGACCCGAGGAACCGAGGACCCCAGCAGUGAGUUCAGCUGCUUCUGAGUCAGUAGAGCUUCAGCUAGAGGUGAGUAGAAUAAACCUUUACGAUUUAAAGCAAAUAAAUUAUAAGUUUUUAGCAUGUUCAUGCAUCAUGAAUGCCAUGUGAUGAAUUAGGUUGUUUGCAUUAGACUUCACGAAUAUGUUGCAUUGCAUUUAUGAUGUUGAUGUGGAUUGGUUAUUGGAUAAUCCUUUAGUCCUCAUAUGAUAUGAUGAUGCUAUGGCAUGAUAUGGUAUGGAAGUCCAG